CCGGGUUCUGUCGUGGACAAUCAUUCAUCUAGUGAUCAGGUUGCCCUGACCCUCAAGCAGUCUACCCGGGUUCAACGCGGGCCGCGCCAAAGAACCCCUAUUUGACCUUGCUCCGGGUGGAGUUUACCGUGCCACAAACUGUUACCAGUUGCGCGGUGCGCUCUUACCGCACCCUUUCACCCUUACCUGUGCUGCAAGCAGCCAUCGGCGGUUUACUCUCUGCUGCACUAGUCGUCGGCUUACACCGCCCA
rnacentral:scRNA from 1 species